rnacentral:rRNA from 1 species
GAUGAACGCUGGCGGCGUGCCUAAUACAUGCAAGUCGAGCGAACGGACGAGAAGCUUGCUUCUCUGAUGUUAGCGGCGUACGGGUGAGUAACACGUGGAUAACCUACCUAUAAGACUGGGAUAACUUCGGGAAACCGGAGCUAAUACCGGAUAAUAUUUUGAACCGCAUGGUUCAAAAGUGAAAGACGGUCUUGCUGUCACUUAUAGAUGUAUCCGCACUGCAUUAGCUAGUUGGUAAGGUAACGGCUUACCAAGGCAACGGUGCAUAGCCGACCUGAGAGGGUGAUCGACCACACUGGAACUGAGACACGGUCCAGACUCCUACGGGAGGCAGCAGUAGGGAAUCUUCCGCGAUGGGCGAAAGCCUGACGGAGCAACGCCGCGUGAGUGAUGAAGGUCUUCGGAUCGUAAAACUCUGUUAUUAGGGAAGAACAUAUGUGUAAGUAACUGUGCACAUCUUGACGGUACCUAAUCAGAAAGCCACGGCUAACUACGUG